UAAGGGGCAAGCGUUAUCCGGAUUUACUGGGUGUAAAGGGUGAGUAGGCGGCAGAGCAAGUCAUAUGUGAAAUUCCGGGGCUUAACCCCGGAGCUGCAUAAGAAACUGUUUUGCUGGAGUGCGGGAGAGGCAAGCGGAAUUCCCAGUGUAGCGGUGAAAUGCGUAGAUAUUGGGAAGAACACCGGUGGCGAAGGCGGCUUGCUGGACCGUAACUGACGCUGAGUCACGAAAGCGUGGGGAGCGA
rnacentral:rRNA from 1 species